UAUGUUCAGUAAAUGUCAGUGUUUCUAUCAGUUUCCAGCAGCAGAGAGAAAAGUCCCCUGUACCCAGCUGUGUGUCCAUGAAGAGUGAUCGGUCUAAGGGUCAUCUGAUUACCUUCAAAGAUGGACGUCCUUCUUCUGACCUGCUAGUGGACCAGGAGAGCUCAGAGGUUCCCAGUGGUCAGUCUGCCCAGCAGCAUCAAACACACCUGGACUCCAUAUUUAUGCUGCUGGAGGAGAACAUCCUCACUUUUGUGAAGAACGAGCUGAAGAAGAUCCAGAAGGUUCUGAGU